rnacentral:rRNA from 1 species
UACGGGGGGGGCAAGCGUUGUUCGGAAUUACUGGGCGUAAAGGGCUCGUAGGUGGCCAACUAAGUCAUACGUGAAAUCCCUCGGCUUAACCGGGGAACUGCGUCUGAUACUGGAUGGCUUGAGUUUGGGAGAGGGAUGCGGAAUUCCUGGUGUAGCGGUGAAAUGCGCAGAUAUCAGGAGGAACACCGGUGGCGAAGGCGGUCUGCUGGGCUGUGGCUGACGCUGAUGCGCGACAGCGUGGGGAGCAAACAGG